rnacentral:rRNA from 1 species
GUCGAGCGAGGUAGCAAUACCUAGCGGCAGACGGGUGCGUAACAUGUGGGAAUCUGCCUUUUGGUUCGGAACAACACGGGGAAACCUGUGCUAAUACCGGAUAAGUCCUUACGGAGAAAGUUUUAAUGCCAAAAGAUGAGCCCGCAUUUGAUUAGCUAGUUGGUGAGGUAAAAGCUCACCAAGGCGAUAAUCAAUAGCUGAUUUGAGAGGAUGAUCAGCCACACUGGUACUGAGAUACGGACCAGACUUC